CAUUGUGUUACUGUAGCGCAAUACAUAGCGUGUUGGACUUCUAAUCCAAAAGUCGUGGGUUCGAAUCCUAACUAGAAUGG